GACGAACGCUGGCGGCGUGCUUAACACAUGCAAGUCGAACGGUGAAGCUCCAGCUUGCUGGAGUGGAUCAGUGGCGAACGGGUGAGUAACACGUGAGCAACCUGCCCCUGACUCUGGAAUAAGCGCUGGAAACGGCGUCUAAUACUGGAUACGAGAAGGGUCCGCAUGGGCACUUUCUGGAAAGUUUUUCGGUUGGGGAUGGGCUCGCGGCCUAUCAGCUUGUUGGUGAGGUAAUGGCUCACCAAGGCGACGACGGGUAGCCGGCCUGAGAGGGCGACCGGCCACACUGGGACUGAGACACGGCCCAGACUCCUACGGGAGGCAGCAGUGGGGAAUAUUGCACAAUGGGCGAAAGCCUGAUGCAGCGACGCCGCGUGAGGGAUGACGGCCUUCGGGUUGUAAACCUCUUUCAGCAGGGAAGAAGCGAAAGUGACGGUACCUGUAGAAGAAGCACCGGCUAACUACGUG
rnacentral:rRNA from 1 species